UACGUAGGGUGCGAGCGUUGUCCGGAAUUAUUGGGCGUAAAGGGCUCGUAGGCGGUUUGUCGCGUCGACUGUGAAAACCCGAGGCUUAACCUCGGGCCUGCAGUCGAUACGGGCAGACUAGAGUUCGGUAGGGGAGACUGGAAUUCCUGGUGUAGCGGUGAAAUGCGCAGAUAUCAGGAGGAACACCAAUUGCGAAGGCAGCUCGCUGGGACGUUACUGACGCUGAGACGCGAAAGCGUGGGGAGCAAACAGG
rnacentral:rRNA from 1 species